rnacentral:lncRNA from 1 species
UGUCAGUUUCAUCUGUCCUAACUCCAUAAACAACACCCUGGUUUAAAUCUGUAGCCCUGAUCCCCCAAGCCUUGCAUGUAAAAGCAAUAUUAUGUGAAUCAUGCACCUUACUCAGGUGGUAAAAGGAGCUUGCUUGCUUCGGAUAAGGUAAUGUAUCUGUUCUUCCAUUGUGUGUUAUGGUUAUGUAACCUUCCUCGAUAUCAAUAUUUGGAGUUCCAUACUCUCCCAUUGUCCCAAGCUUCACUAGGUGACACUCCUGGCUAAAUUCCUUAAUAGCAAAGAGGACAUUGAGUGUACCAAUCACAUUGUUAUGCUGUGUAUACACAGCUCUUGACCGAUCUAUCAUGGAAUAAGGUGCAGAUCGUUGCUCACCAAAAUGGACUACAGAAUCAGGUUCAAAAGAUUUAAAGGCUUCGGAGAGGAAUUCAAAGUCACAUAUGUCACCAAUAAAGAGCUGGAUUGAUUUUCCAGUGACAGAUUUCCAACGCCGAACACGAUUCUGG